rnacentral:RNase_MRP_RNA from 2 species
GGGUAGGGUGCCGAGGUGCUUCGGUCACUCUAAGAUUAGAGACUGAGGAAAGUCCCCGGGCCAAAUUUAGCAGAAAUUGCAAGCUCGAAAGAGCAGUUCUUCGCUUUGGAGAACGUCUGGCGCCCCUGGUGGGCGGGGCUGAGACACGUGUGGAGCCUUCCUUUCCAGAUGAUGCUCGGCGAAGCAGCUGGCCAUAAAUACAGUAAUGCACCUUGUCGAAUCAUUCGACCAACAGAAUGGGGCUUACGCCCACCCUGCC